rnacentral:rRNA from 1 species
UACGUAAGGACCGAGCGUUGUCCGGAAUCAUUGGGCGUAAAGGGUACGUAGGUGGUUAGGCAAGUUAGAUGUGAAAGGCUAUAGCUCAACUAUAGUAAGCUUUUAAAACUGUUUAACUUGAGAGAUGGAAAGGUAAGUGGAAUUCUUAGUGUAGCGGUGAAAUGCGCAGAUAUUAGGAAGAAUACCGGUGGCGAAGGCGACUUACUGGCCAUUAUCUGACGCUGAGGUACGAAAGCGUGGGUAGCAAACAGG